AUUUGAAGAUGAAGAGGAGGGUGAAUACAUGAAGUUUCAGAUUCAGAUGAGCUGUGAGGACUCCUACGUUUUACUACAGUGAUCUUCUGUAGACCAGUAAGAGUAAUUGCAAAGCUUUGCAGAUAUUAAAUCAUGUACUUGGAUUAAUUUGCCCUUCAAGAUGCAGUCAGAGUGGAGAACCAUGAAACACUGCAGUGGCUGCGACUCUUGUGUCGGGGGCUGUGUUUCAGCAGCCCUCUGCUCUCCAUUAACUGGACAGACACUGAAUGUGUCAGUUUAAUGUGUGUUUUAACAUCUUGGCAAUUAUCUGUAACACAUUGUGACAGUUUGGAGUCUGGAACGUCUCAAGUUUAAACUCCUGCGGUGAAAUGAUCAGACCCCACAGCAGCAGUGUGUCAGUUUGGCUUCGGAAGACAGCUGUGUUGUUCAAUUAAUUAAUUAAUCGUUUUUAAAACAACUGAAGAAGGCUUUUCUCUCCUGCUUGAAUAAACCACCUCAAUAAUUCUUAAAAGACAGAAAUCAUCAAUUAAAAGUGUCGACCCUCCUCCGCCAAUGAAUGCAUUUGUAACCUAUGUUACUUAAAUUGAGUGCCCGUUCAGCCAUCAGGGGCGCCGUUAUAAAAGGGAAACGCUCUCAGAGUACGCCCCGUUCUGAUGUCACGUCCUCCUUGCUGUUGGCUGUGCAUGGCUGGAAUAAACAAAUGACUGAUUCAACACCAAAUCUGAUUAACACCUUAUGUAAAUCUUCCCAUACUCAUUGGUCAGGUUUUUUUUGGACUCCCUGAACCUCUUCUAGAGUGGCGAGCUGGUAGGAUUAUUUAUUUUUCCCCUUUGAUUCGGGACCUUGGACACUGUGAGAGUCCUGUUUUUUUUCCCCCAAAAGGAACUUAACUAAAAGAACAUGGACAAUAACUGAACUUUCAUAUUUAGUUUGGAUAAACACAAACUGAACCAUUUUGAUUGAAUGACUGGAUACUUGUCUAAUGUAAUCUUGUCUUGACACACUUAUCUGGUGUCUGUCUAAUUAUUUGUUUGUUGUAAUUUAAGUUAAAUAUAUAUUUCUGAAUCA